AACGUAUUCCUUGUACAAUCGUAACAAUAUGUCUGCGAAUGUCAUGAAACUUACUUGUAUAAAUGCAGCAAACAUUUGAAAUAGUACUGCAGCGUAAUAAUUGUGUUAUAAUUAGUUUUAAAGUAUUAUAAUGUUAAAUUAAUAAUCGGGU
rnacentral:lncRNA from 1 species